rnacentral:tRNA from 1 species
UCCGCAGUAGCUCAUGGAGAGCACCAGAUUCUUAAUCUGAAGGCGCGAUGGGGAUACCCAUUAGGUUCGAUUCCCGCCUGCGGCA